ensembl:misc_RNA Metazoa_SRP Metazoan signal recognition particle RNA
GCUGGGCGUGGUGGCUCACGCCUGUAAUCCCAGCACUUUGGGGGGCUGAGGCGGGUGGAUCACCUGAGGUCAGGAGUUUGAGACCAGCCUGGCCAACAUGGUGAAACCCUGUCUCUA